UGUCUCUCUCACGUGUGACUGAGCGAGAGUGAGCAAGAGAGAGAGAGGCUGAGCCAAAUGCGAUGCAGCAGAAUUCUGUGACAGACCUGGCAUUUAUUUGAACAGAGGCAGCCAGCUUGAGAGGGUGAGAUGCUUUAGUGCUACAGUCACUCUGCACCUACCCCAGCCCAAAUCAGGGAGAGAGACAGGAGUAGGAGGUGGGGGGCAAGGAGAACAGACCCCGUUUGACCUUCUCCGCAAUCCAUAUUUGGGAAUAUCAGUGCUUUUUGUUGUUCUUCUCCUCCUGUGUUCCCCCUUCUUCUUCGCCUGAAUUGUGGAUGUAUAUUCAGAAGUGUGUCUUGCAUCAGAAUUGUCUUGUUUAUCUACAGGUCAGAAUGAAAGGCACCCUCAAGCAGAGCUGAAGCAGUAUUCAUAGGACAAUUCCCUGGACUGUCACUGUUCUUGCUACUUCAACUCGUUCAGUGAGACUUGGGUCCGGGUUGGACAGGAAUUACCCUGCAACUGAUAUGACAAUUUCAGAUGCUUUCUGACUUCUUCAGUAUGAAGGAAAUACAUAUUUUAGGACAUUAUAAGGAUUUUUAACAUGCAUUUAUAUUUAUAUGCCCAUAACUGAUAACCAUGAGUCUGACUGGGAAAACUAGUUUCCAGAAAAAGUCUUUCAUUUUAUCCGUGACAUAUUUCAUUUGAAUUUAAAAAGCCACCAAUGACAAGAUGCUCAUUUUUGCAGCAGUUAUUUUUCUCUUUAUUUCUUACUUUUUGUUUCCACGCUAAUGCUUUUGGAAAAUACAGAGACAACACUCGCGACGCCUCUGCUGUUAUUAAGGCGACACGUGAAUGGGUAGCACUCUUUGUAUCGAGAUCUGACAGGGAGAAGUUCCAAUUCAGCCUUUUGCUGCCAGAGCUUCUCUUUCAUGGAAACCCAUUGGACUCCUUCAUCUCACACGCUGUUCCCAUCGGGCAAAACUGCACUCGGCAUAAGGCUCUGCACCACCUUGUCACGUUUCAGGCAAGUGAACUGUCAGUCUUCUACCGCUUACAAUGUCAUAUUUCACCCAUUUCCUUCUCUCAGAGCCGCAGUGGACGAUGUGGACUCCAUUCCACCUAUAUUGAAACACACCUCCAUGUCACCCAUAGGUUAUGGCACCAUCUGGCUUUUCCCACAUCUCAGCAGUCUUGUGGGUGGCAGCAUUAGGCUACCCAGGCAGGAUGUUUUGCUGAUUAACACGAACAUUGAAACACACCCAGAGCUGCGAGCUCUAAGGCUCAGCCGAGCCGCAUCCCCGAUGCCCACACAUGCCUCCAGAAGCACUGCACUGGCACUUUCCCAGCAGCUUCUCUGGUGAACACGAACACUCAGACCACCUCACACCUCAGUCUCUGAGAUCAGAAGCGCUGCUCUCCCUUGGACACCUGUCCUUUAAAAGUGCGCCGUCCAUCUGUCUCAAAAUGUUGCUGUUACUCUCCAUCCUUCAGUCCAACAACAGAUGUUAUUCUGUAGAGAGACUAGACAGGCCAUAGACAGUACUGUAAAUAGUAUAGCUCUCAGCUGAAGCUAGAUAACACACAAACUCCCAACAGCUGCGAUCUGCCAAACACCAGUGUAUUGGAGGGUAUUUGUUGCUGUAACAGCUCCUUUGAGGACAAUCAUGUUGCAGUCCAUACUUGUGUAGACAAAUGCACAUAUACACGUUUUAAGUGUCAUUAAUUUUCCUGUCAUAUAAGUUCUAAAAGGUGAUGAUGAAUAUCUGUAGCUGUAUUUUAUUUCAAAGACUUUUUUAUUCCAAAAGUUCUUCCAUUAUUUUGCCAAGUUCUCUAACCUUCAUAUCUACUCUGCUUCUUAGUUGUUUGAAAAAAGAAGUGUUUUGAGAAGGUCCUUUUGACUACCUAGUGAAGAGAAAGUAAGCUGGUUGUUUCAUUUUUUUGUUACAUC
rnacentral:lncRNA from 1 species